GCUGAACAUACCCCAUUUGCAAUACCUUGGGUUGUCUUCUUUUGCAAAUGGUAUGCCAUCAUGGGGCUAAUUCUCAUUCCUGGGCUACCAUACGCUCUCAAAGGCAACCUAACCAAUCUGACAAAUUUCAAUAAAAAAAAAAAAAGUAAAAUCAAGCCUUAUAUUUGACCCUGUAACUUUCACAAACACUAUAAAACCUCUACAUGUGG